rnacentral:rRNA from 1 species
GACGAACGCUGGCGGCGUGCUUAACACAUGCCAGUCGAACGGGUCUGCCCUGUUUUUUGCGGGGUGGGUCAGUGGCGAACGGGUGAGUAACACGUGAGUAACCUGCCCCUCACUUCUGGAUAACCGCUUGAAAGGGUGGCUAAUACGGGGUGUUCUGGCUGUGCCGCAUGGUGUGGCUGGGAAAGAUUCACUUUUGUGGUGUUUUGGUGGGGGAUGGGCUCGCGGCCUAUCGGCUUGUUGGUGGGGUGAUGGCCUGCCAAGGCUUUGACGGGUAGCCGGCCUGAGAGGGUGGGCGGUCACACUGGGACUGAGAUACGGCCCAGACUCCUGCGGGAGGCAGCAGUGGGGGGUAUUGCACAAUGGGCGGAAGCCUGAUGCAGCGACGUCGCGUGAGGGAUGGAGGCCUUCGGGUUGUGAACCUCUUUCGCCGGUGAAGAAGGUCCUGCUCUUUGUGGUGGGGUUGACGGUAGCCGGGUUAUGAAGCGCCGGCUAACUACG